rnacentral:rRNA from 1 species
AUGGGAGCUUGCUCCCUGAUGUUAGCGGCGGACGGGUGAGUAACACGUGGGUAACCUGCCUGUAAGACUGGGAUAACUCCGGGAAACCGGGGCUAAUACCGGAUGCUUGUUUGAACCGCAUGGUUCAAACAUAAAAGGUGGCUUCGGCUACCACUUACAGAUGGACCCGCGGCGCAUUAGCUAGUUGGUGAGGUAAUGGCUCACCAAGGCAACGAUGCGUAGCCGACCUGAGAGGGUGAUCGGCCACACUGGGACUGAGACACGGCCCAGACUCCUACGGGAGGCAGCAGUAGGGAAUCUUCCGCAAUGGACGAAAGUCUGACGGAGCAACGCCGCGUGAGUGAUGAAGGUUUUCGGAUCGUAAAGCUCUGUUGUUAGGGAAGAACAAGUACCGUUCGAAUAGGGCGGUACCUUGACGGUACCUAACCAGAAAGCCACGGCUAACUACGUGCCAGCAGCCGCGGUAAUACGUAGGUGGCAAGCGUUGUCCGGAAUUAUUGGGCGUAAAGGGCUCGCAGGCGGUUCCUUAAGUCUGAUGUGAAAGCCCCCGGCUCAACCGGGGAGGGUCAUUGGAAACUGGGGAACUUGAGUGCAGAAGAGGAGAGUGGAAUUCCACGUGUAGCGGUGAAAUGCGUAGAGAUGUGGAGGAACACCAGUGGCGAAGGCGACUCUCUGGUCUGUAACUGACGCUGAGGAGCGAAAGCGUGGGGAGCGAGGAA